UACGAAGGGUGCAAACGUUGCUCGGAAUUAUUGGGCGUAAAGCGCACGUAGGCGGCUUGGCAAGUCGGAUGUGAAAGCCCACGGCUCAACCAUGGAAGUGCAUCCGAAACUGCUGAGCUUGAGUACUUAAGAGGAUCGCGGAAUUCCCGGUGUAGAGGUGAAAUUCGUAGAUAUCGGGAGGAACACCGGUGGCGAAGGCGGCGAUCUGGGUAGAUACUGACGCUGAGGUGCGAAAAGCGUGGGGAGCAAACAGG
rnacentral:rRNA from 1 species